rnacentral:rRNA from 1 species
UACGUAGGUGACAAGCGUUGUCCGGAUUUACUGGGCGUAAAGAGCGCGCAGGCGGUCGAUCAAGUCGAGUGUGAAAGCCCCCGGCUCAACUGGGGAGGGUCAUUCGAUACUGAUCGACUCGAAGGCAGGAGAGGGUAGUGGAAUUCCCGGUGUAGUGGUGAAAUGCGUAGAUAUCGGGAGGACACCAGUGGCGAAGGCGACUACCUGGCC